AGACACGCUGGCGGCGUGCCUAACACAUGCAAGUCGAACGAGGUCCAUCCUUCGGGAGAAGACCUAGUGGCGAACGGGUGAGUAACACGUGAAGAACCUGCCCCGAAGACCGGGAUAACCCUCCGAAAGGAGAGCUAAUACCGGAUACCCCCACCGAACCGCAUGGUUUGGUGAGGAAAUGGAUUCCGCUUCGGGAGGGCUUCGCGGCCUAUCAGCUAGUUGGUGGGGUAACGGCCCACCAAGGGCAUCGACGGGUAGCUGGUCUGAGAGGACGAUCAGCCACACUGGGACUGAGACACGGCCCAGACUCCUACGGGAGGCAGCAGUGGGGAAUCUUGCGCAAUGGGCGAAAGCCUGACGCAGCAACGCCGCGUGGGGAUGAAGGCUCUCGGGUUGUAAACCCCUUUCAGCAGGGACGAAUCAAGACGGUACCUGCAGAAGAAGCCCCGGCUAACUACGUG
rnacentral:rRNA from 1 species